GGACACUCAAACUGGAAAGAUGAGGGCAAGAAAUAGCUGAGAUCCAAUCAGAAACAAAAAGCCAGACUGUGGGAGUCAGUAGGACUAUUCAGAUAUGAAUGAGAGAACAUGUAGCCUAUUUUCGACUACUGGACAACUUACCUACAAGAUGAAGCCAACAAUGUUGUUAGCACAGAAAGACAAAAUAAAACCUGGAUCCUUGAUCAUAUUACUAAACUGCUGGAUCAAUGAAUUCUGAUACACGCUGCCAAGCAUGUGGGCCAAUAAAUGUACUCAUUGUUGAAGCCAG
rnacentral:lncRNA from 1 species